rnacentral:rRNA from 1 species
GCAAAAGAGUGGGAAGAUCUUUGAGUAGAGGUGACAGACCUACCGAGCCCAGUUAUAGCUGGUUGCCUACAAAAGGAAUAGAAGUUCAGCCUUUAUUCUUCUUCUCUCAAGACUGCAUAUACUUGUAAGUGACACAAAGAAGUUUAAAGAGUUAUUCAAGGGGGGAACAGCCCCCUUGAAAAAAGAUACAACUUUAUUUAGUAGGCUAAAGAUUAAAAUACUUAAGGCAAAUAUACCUUGGUGGGCCUAAAAGCAGCCAUCCAUAUAGAAAGCGUUAAAGCUCAAGUACUUUGCCCCUCCCUAAUUUCAACAAUUCAAUCUUAAGCCCCUUUAAUUAAUAGUAGGCCUUUUCAUGCUCCCAUGAAAGAGACACUGCUGAGAUGAGUAAUAAGAGGACCGCUCCUCUCCCCAACACCUGCAUAACUCAGAACGAACCCCCACUGAAAAUUACCGCUCCCAACUAGAAGAGGGGCCUGGGAAAGCCCAAAAUAAACUAGAAGCUCACCCAAUAAUUAGCGUUACCCCUACACAGGUGUGUUUAAGGAAAGACUAAAAGAAAAAGAAGGAACUCGGCAAACACUGGCCUCGCCUGUUUACCAAAAACAUCGCCUCUUGCAACAAACGUAUAAGAGGUCCCGCCUGCCCUGUGACUAACUAGUUUAACGGCCGCGGUAUUUUGACCGUGCGAAGGUAGCGUAAUCACUUGUCUUUUAAAUGGAGACCUGUAUGAAUGGCACAACGAGGGCUAAGCUGUCUCCUUUUUCCAGUCAAUGAAAUUGAUUUUCCCGUGCAGAAGCGGGGAUAUAACCAUAAGACGAGAAGACCCUAUGGAGCUUAAGACACAAGGCAGCCCAUGUAAAACACCUGUAUAAACAGAAUUAACCAAGUGGCCCCUGCCCUUUUGUCUUUGGUUGGGGCGACCGCGGGGAAACAAGAAUCCCCCACGUGGAAUGGGGCCCACCCCCUUAAAGCCAGAGCUACAGCUCUAGCUAGCAGAACAUCUGACCUACAAGAUCCGGCAAAGCCGAUCAACGGACCGAGUUACCCUAGGGAUAACAGCGCAAUCCCCUUUUAGAGCCCAUAUCGACAAGGGGGUUUACGACCUCGAUGUUGGAUCAGGACAUCCUAAUUGGUGCAGCCGCUA